rnacentral:rRNA from 1 species
GUGAGGAAUAUUGGUCAAUGGGCGAGAGCCUGAACCAGCCAAGUCGCGUGAAGGAAGAAGGAUCUAUGGUUCGUAAACUUCUUUUGCAGGGGAAUAAAGUGCAGGACGUGUUCUGUUUUGUAUGUACCCUGAGAAUAAGGAUCGGCUAACUCCGUGCCAGCAGCCGCGGUAAUACGGAGGAUCCGAGCGUUAUCCGGAUUUAUUGGGUUUAAAGGGUGCGUAGGUGGUUUGAUAAGUCAGCGGUGAAAGUUUGCAGCUUAACUGUAAAAAUGCCGUUGAAACUGUCGGACUUGAGUGUAAAUGAGGUAGGCGGAAUGCGUGGUGUAGCGGUGAAAUGCAUAGAUAUCACGCAGAACUCCGAUUGCGAAGGCAGCUUACUAAGCUACAACUGACACUGAAGCACGAAAGCGUGGGGAUCAAACAGGAUUAGAUACCCCAGUAGUCC